rnacentral:rRNA from 1 species
CUUUCUGACGAACCAUGAUGUCAUUUAUUUGGUGUUGUGGGGAAUCAGGACUGUUACUUUGAAAAAAUUAGAGCGUUUAAAGCAGGCUCACGCUUGAAUACAUUAGCAUGGAAUAAUGAAAUAGGACGUUUGAUUCUAUUUUGUUGGUUUCUAGGAUCGACGUAAUGAUUAAUAGGGAUAGUUGGGGGCAUUAGUAUUCAAUUGUCAGAGGUGAAAUUCUUGGAUUUAUUGAAGACUAACUACUGCGAAAGCAUUUGCCAAGGAUGUUUUCAUUAAUCAAGAACGAAAGUUAGGGGAUCGAAGACGAUCAGAUACCGUCGUAGUCUUAACCAUAAACUAUGCCGACUAGGGAUCGGAUGAUGUUAAUUUUUUAAUGACUCAUUCGGCGCCUUACG